UUUAGAUUUUAUACUGUCAGUGAGCUGGGAUAGACAUGAUGUACAACAGGUUCUUUUGCAGCCUGUUUCUACUGGUGAUUUUGGGUCUAGCCCAAGGACAAUAUCCAGACUUUACAUGCCCUUUAAGCAAACAAGGACAUCACACGUAACACAGGAAGCAGGAGAAAUAACAGCAGAGAAAAAAAUGAUUUUGCUGGCUUCAUGAGGACAAGUCAAUCAACCAGCAGCUAAAAAAAAUCUUUGCAAUUUACUUUAUGUGUAAUAAAAGUUAUUAUACCUAUAAACAUUCAGCCAGAUUUUUUUAAUGUCAAAAUGUUGGAGUAAAUAUAUUUUCCCAGUUUAAAUACAUAUUUCUGCUUCUAAAGUUAGUAUAUAAAAAUGCAAAUUAGACCGCACAAUUUUUCUGCCCAAAUUUGAUAAUUGGGUGCACGUCUAGUAGCCUAUUCGCAAUGGCUGCUCCAAGGUAUACAAAUUUCAUCCAAAAAGCAUGCUUGACAAAGAGUGGAGUGCCACUCAAAAUGUUGCAUGAUGUUGCUGUCCAAAUAAGAAUAAAGACGGUUUUAUUGAAAAGGGAGUGCUGUCUA